rnacentral:rRNA from 1 species
UACGGAGGAUGCAAGCGUUAUCCGGAUUCAUUGGGUUUAAAGGGUGCGCAGGCGGGCUUGUAAGUCAGUGGUGAAAUACUGCCGCUUAACGGUAGAAUUGCCAUUGAUACUGCAGGUCUUGAGUAUGGAUGAGGUAGGCGGAAUGUGCAGUGUAGCGGUGAAAUGCAUAGAUAUUGCACAGAACUCCGAUUGCGAAGGCAGCUUACUAAUCCAUGACUGACGCUGAGGCACGAAAGCGUGGGGAGCGAACAGGAUUAGAUACCCUGGUAGUCCACGCUGUAAACGAUGUUCACUCGCUGUUUGCGAUAUACAGUAAGCGGCUGAGCGAAAGCAUUAAGUGAACCACCUGGGGAGUGCGAUCGCAAGGUUGAA